CCCCACAUCUCAUCCCGAUCAAUAGCACGGGCAAACGCGCUUGAGUCAAAGCAGAAUCCUAUAGCCAGCUGCUUGUUUCUUAUCAAGUAAAUUGUUUUGAAAUUGCUUCCUCUGUUCCCUGGCUGUUCAGGAGAAACGCUCUGUACGACAAAUCAAACCAUACGCAUCACAAUGGCAGGCGAUCCACACCCAGAAGAAGAUUCGUCUCGGGCUAUCAAUGGCGAGGAGCUUGGGGAUGUGGAAGCAAACCUGCAACCACCGCUUGGUAUUAUAGAUAGAAGGCCGUGGAUCGUGCGUUAUUUAGCUCAGGAUGUCAACACAGAGCACGCAGACCUAAUAUUUCUGGUCUGUUAUUUCCUGUCGGGUCUCAGUGACAGCGCUGCCUACAGAGCCUGGGGUUGCUUUGUUAGCAUGCAGACCGGAAACACCAUUUUUCUCGGAUUGGGAGCAUCCGACGCUCUUGACCAAACGACAUACCAUUGGCUUAAAGCCCUCGUUUCUAUUCUCUCUUUCCUCGCCGGGGGUGUAGCAUUCUCCAAAACCCAACAUUUUGGACCUCAAACUAGACGCACCAUGCUCAUUAAUUUUGGUUCUCAAACACUCCUAGUAAUCGUAGCAGCAUCCCUACUGCAGUCCGGUCUAAUCGACGAUUCCGGCGAGGUUACGGACCACCAUGUUUUCCUAAAACUCAUACCAUUGUCCU
rnacentral:sRNA from 1 species